UCCGGGUGGACAGGGAGGACAGGUGGUGCGAUGGUUGUCGUCAGCUCGUGUCGUGAGAUGUUGGUUAAGUCCCGCAACGAGCGCAACCCCUACGUUUAGUUGCUAACGCGUGAAGGCGAGCACUCUAGACGAACUGCCGUUGACAAAACGGAGGAAGGUGGGGAUGACGUCAAAUCAUCAUGCCCCUUAUGUUCUGGGCUACACACGUGCUACAAUGGCCGGUACAGACGGACGCAAAGCCGCGAGGUGGAGCAAAUCCUAAAAAGCCGGUCUCAGUUCGGAUUGCAGGCUGCAAUUCGCCUGCAUGAAGUCGGAAUCGCUAGUAAUCGCAGGUCAGCAUACUGCGGUGAAUACGUUCCCGGGCCUU
rnacentral:rRNA from 1 species